UUAAUGAAGAAGAUUUUUUCACCUAAAGAUGUGUGUUUUGGACAAUUCUCUUUUUCCUCUUUUGAGUCAACUUUAUAGAGGCAUAAUUAAUUAAAAUAAAAUGUAAGUGUGUAGUUCAGUGAUUUAAGACUGUUUUCCAACAUGGUUGCACCUUUUGUAUUUCCAUCAGCAGUUUGUGAGAGUUCCAGUUGCUUCACAUUCUUUUCAAAACUUGCAAUGGCCCAGUAUUAUAAGUUUUAAUUUUGGCCAUCAUAAUUGGUACAAAGUGGUAUUCCAUGAGGAGGAGUUUUGAAAGCACUUAAAUUUUGCAUUUCUUAUGAAACUUUUAAUUUAGUCAUUUAUUUUAUAUGAGCAGGGACUCGUAUUCUGUUUUACUCAAUAGAUUUUAAUUCAUUAUUUAAAAAAUCAAGACAAAAAAUUUGGCUUUCCCUUCAGUGUCUCUUGCAGAUGGCUACAAUGCAGGGGCAACUGGUUUUCUGGUGGGCCUAGAAUGUAUGUAAAUAUUUCAAUUCUCCUAACAAAAUAUCAACUAUGCCCUCUCCUCUAUAAGAAUCUAAUGCUUAUGAGCUUUGUCUUAACAUUUUCAUUAUUAAAAAGUACCUUCUUUUAAACCCAGAAAAAUUAAUAAUAGUUGAAGGAUAUGGUCUAAAGUGAUUCUAACAAUCAGUUCUUCAAAACUAUCCACUCUACCAUUUUCAGCUUCAUUGAAUCAUUAGAAAUUAAUCCUCACCUAUUGGACAGAAUUUGAGCUUUAUAAUUCCUUACAAUUUAUCAUUUUAAAGCAUACUUCAAAAUCAUAGGUCCUGGCCCAAACUUCUGACCUCUUCAUCUUUCUCAUAAACUCAAUACCAUCCUUAUUUGACCUCAGUAAGUAUUGUAAUGCACAUGUGUUCUUCAAGACUAUUACAUCCUUCUUUGCUUUCUUUCCCCAGCUGUAUUCACUGAACAGAUUGUUGAUGUUAUACACUCUCUGGCUAGUCUGUCAAUUCCCUCGACAACUUGACCAAGUCUCAUAGUUAAGUGGUGAAACAUUUGUUUCCUCUGCCUUCAUCUUGGACUGCUGAAUCUUGCUGAAGAAAACUUCAACCUUGUUCAAAUUCUCUAAAACUUAUGUUUUAUGAAACCAGGUGGGAUUCAGUACUGACUGGGAAGAAUCUAUGGGAGUAAAUAUGGAACCCUAAGAAAAGCUACUUUCUGGAAAAUAAAAAUGAUCAAUUCCUGAUCUUUACACAUGCUGAUAUACUUCAAGGUCAAUUCUAGAUUCUUCUUUCUUCUAACUUUAUCCUUUCUCC
rnacentral:lncRNA from 10 species